CAAAUAGUCUGCCUCACCUAUGAAGUCCCUGCCCAUAGCGCUGCCAAAUAGUCUGCCAAAUAGUCUGCCUCACCCAUGAAGUCCCUGCCCAUAGUGCUGCCAAAUAGUCUGCCUCACCCAUGAAGUCCCUGGCCAUAGCGCUGCCAAGUCUCAUCUUAUGUACACAGAAUAUUUGAUACAUGAUUUCAAAUGAUACAUAGAUGACACAUGAGGGAGAGAGUGAUGCGUUGGGGUGAUGUGGAACGGCUGUGGAGAGAUUCGGAACACACCCAAAUGGACCUCAUACUUAUGUCAUACUAUAAGCCAAGACUGUGCCAAGAGUGUGCUAGGAUGGUGCCGGUGUGAUGGAAAUGAACGCUGAGUCCAGUAAGAGCUGUGAUUUGUAAGAGGUGUGUCAGUCAGAGAAAUAGAGAGAGUGCCAGAAAGAGAGUGCCAAUAAUAGAAAGAGAGAGCAAUAGAGAAUGCCAAUAAGAGGUGUGUCAGUAAGAGAACGAGAGAGAGAGUGCCAAUAAGAGAGAGUGCCAAUUAGUGGUGUGUCAGUAAGAGAAAGAGGGAGUGCCAGUAAGAGAGAGAAUGCCAAUAAGAGAGAGAGAGACAGUAAGAGAGUGCCAAUAAGAGGUGCAUCAGUAAGAGAGAGGGAGUGCCAGAAAGAGAGCCAGUAAGAGUGCCAAUAAGAGAGAGAGAGAGACAGUAAGAGAGUGCCAAUAAGAGGUGCAUCAGUAAGAGAGAGGGAGUGCCAGAAAGAGAGCCAGUAAGAGUGCCAAUAAGAGAGAGAGAGAGACAGUAAGAGAGUGCCAAUAAGAGGUGCAUCAGUAAGAGAGAGAGGGAGUGCCAGAAAGAGUGCCAGCAAGAUGUGUGACUGGUAAGAGCUGUGACUUGAGGUGUUGUCAGUGGCACUAGCAUUCAAUUAAACAUCUAAAUAAUAACAGUAAUGAUAAUAAUGAACAGUGGUCACCUAAGCCUUGUGAUUCUUAAGGGACUCCAUGGUAGCCUAGAAUUACCUUAGUUGUCGUAAAUCAUCACUGUAUCCUUUGUUCUUUUUUGUUUCCUCUUUUUUAACGGUAAAUGAAGCAGCUCAAGGGUAUACAAAAACAAAUAGAAUAAGUUAGUAAAUAAAAGCUUGCUGACCCUCCUUCCCCUUCCCUUCCCUUGCCUUGCCUUCUGUUCCCUUGCCUUGCCUUCCCUUGCUUUGCCUUCUGUUCCCUUGCCUUGCCUUGCUUUGCCUUCUGUUCCCUUGCCUUGCCUUGCCUUGCCUUCCCUCCCCUUCCCUUCCCUUCCCUUGCAUUCCUUACCCUUUCCCUUCCCUUACCUCCCCUUUCCUUCCCUUCCCUUCCCUUCCCUUCCCUUCCCAUGCCUUCCCUUCCUUUCCCUUCCCUUCCCCUACCCUAUAAAUAAAUAAGAAAAUAAAAAUAAACAAAACUCUACUAACCACUGCUCCUAUAAGAGACAGUAUAGAUAGAUAGAUAGAUAGAUAGUAAAUAAUAUUGCUUUUUAUAUAUAUAUUUUACUUAACUUUUUACAUAUAUCUUACUUUACUUGACUUUAUAUAUAUUUCUACAUUAUUUUAUACUUUACUCUUAAGCUUAUAAAUAUGCCACAGAGGUAUUUUUAUCUCUCAUACGCAUGACAUGUUUUCCGGGGAGUAAUUUAUUUUAAGCAGGCGAGAUUGAGUACUUGACCUCAUCUGUUUAAAAGACAUAUUAUUUUCUGUAUAUUAUCAUUAGCAGUACUGUGUAUUAUGUUGUGUAUUGUGUGUAUUGCUAGGGGAGUGUGUGGGUCAUAUCAGAGUGACAAGACUGGUACCAUCCUUAUCCUGUCCAGCUUCCUGGUGCAAGAGUUGACCAGCAUCUUCAAUCUCUCACUCUUACAUGACUUCACUUAUCCUGUCCCAUUUCCCAGUGCAAGAUUUGGUUAGUAUUUUCAUUUUAUACAAGAGUUAACCAGUGUCUUCAUUCCCUCACCAAGUGCUAUGUCUCCUCCCAGCUUCCCAGUGCAAGAGUUAAUCAGCAUCUCCAUUCUUUCAUCUCCCUAUCCAUGCCUGUCCCUCCCAUCCUGUCCCAUUUCCCUAUGCAAGAGUUAACCACUGUGUUCAUUCCCUUACCCUUGCAUGACCUUCCCUAUCAAAUGCCUUUCCCUCCCAUCCUGUCCAAUUUCCCAGUGCAAGAGUUGACCAAAAUCUUGAAUCCCUCACCAAAUGUCACACUCCUCCCAUGCCUUUCCCUCCCAUCCUGUCCCAUUUUCCUAUGCAAGAGUUAACCAGUGUUCAUUCUCUCACCAAGUGCUAAGACCCCCCACUGUAAGCAUAUCCUGGAGCCUUGCUAAAAUGUCUUUCUAAUAGGACACUAAACACAUUAAUAAUUAGAUGUAUAUGUAUACCACCUAAGACUACCAUAGAUAUAAGGCAAAUAACAUGAUCAAAUAUAUACACACUUUAAUGAUUGCUCUAAGUAUGUGUGUGUGUGUGUGUGUGUGUGUGUGUGUGUGUAAUUCUGCUGCUCAAGUGUCAUAAUAAAAUUCUUAUAUGAGA